GCUUCCGUAGCUUAACACCACCUUAAAGCACUGGUCUUGUAAACCUGAGAUGGGCACUAAACCGCCCCAGAAGCA
rnacentral:tRNA from 1 species